UCCCCCUUUUCAUCCUCUUCUAGUUAGAGUUUCUAUUCCCAUUUUCCUCCAUAUAUUUCCAUCACUAUCUUCUCCAAAACCCCCACCAUUUGUAUCUCCUUUUCUAGGUGUUCAGGGAGGAGAAAAGUAUGUGGGUUUAGCAUGAUUGAAAGAGUUUCAUUGCUUCGACUGGCUAUUGUAUAAGAGAGAUUUGCCUUCUGUGGUAUAUAUUCCAUGAAAAUGACUUGCUUCUCAAGGGUCAUGGGGG
rnacentral:lncRNA from 1 species